rnacentral:rRNA from 1 species
GGGCGUCUCUAUCUCAUUGCGAGAGGAGGCGCACCCAGAGCGUACACGCUGAUACCCGAAAGAUGGUGAACUAUGCCUGGCCAGGACGAAGCCAGGGGAAACCCUGGUGGAGGUCCGCAGCGAUUCUGACGUGCAAAUCGAUCGUCGGAGCUGGGUUUAGGGGCGAAAGACCAAUCGAACCAUCUAGUAGCUGGUUCCCUCCGAAGUUUCCCUCAGGAUAGCUUGCGCUCAUUCGAAACGAGUCUCAUCCGGUAGAGCGAAUGAUUAGAGGCCUUGGGGUCGAAACGAUCUCAACCUAUUCUCAAACUCCAAAUAGAUGAGUACUCCGGCUUUCUUGAAUGUAUAUUUUUGAAGCCGGGGGCUUGGAUCAGAGUGCCAAGUGGGCCAAUUUU